CCUAACACAUGCAAGUCGAACGGUAACAGGAAGAAGCUUGCUUCUUUGCUGACGAGUGGCGGACGGGUGAGUAAUGUCUGGGAAACUGCCUGAUGGAGGGGGAUAACUACUGGAAACGGUAGCUAAUACCGCAUAAUGUCGCAAGACCAAAGAGGGGGACCUUCGGGCCUCUUGCCAUCGGAUGUGCCCAGAUGGGAUUAGCUUGUUGGUGGGGUAACGGCUCACCAAGGCGACGAUCCCUAGCUGGUCUGAGAGGAUGACCAGCCACACUGGAACUGAGACACGGUCCAGACUCCUACGGGAGGCAGCAGUGGGGAAUAUUGCACAAUGGGCGCAAGCCUGAUGCAGCCAUGCCGCGUGUAUGAAGAAGGCCUUCGGGUUGUAAAGAAGAUCAGCGGGGAGGAAGGGAGUAAAGUUAAUACCUUUGCUCAUUGACGUUACCCGCAGAAGAAGCACCGGCUAACUCCGUGCCAGCAGCCGCGGUAAUACGGAGGGUGCAAGCGUUAAUCGGAAUUACUGGGCGUAAAGCGCACGCAGGCGGU
rnacentral:rRNA from 1 species